ACCAGCCAGCUACCCCUUGCUGGUCUCUCCUCCAUCCCAUUCAUUUCUCUGCUUUUUCUUUCUCAGCCCAUCUCUUUUUCUGAGAAAGGGUGGGCACUCCUGGGAGAGAUGGGCUUCUGGACCUUACUUUGCUACCUCUAAUGCUUCCUCUCAUCCCAUCCUACAGCCACCUGGUUUCCAUCGGGCCUAUAGUUCCCCACUCUACAGCAACCAGCAGUACGCUUGUGUCAAAGAUCUCUCUGCUGCCAAUCGCAAUGAUCCUGUGUUUGAAACCCUGCGCACUGGGGUGAUCAUGGCAAACAAGGAACGGAAGAAGGGACAGGCAGAUAAGAAAAAUCCUCUAGCAGCCAUGAUGGAGGAGGAGCCAGAGUCGGCCAGACCAGAGGAAGGCAAACCCCAGGAUGGAAACCCUGAAGGGGAUAAGAAGGCUGAGAAGAAGACACCUGAUGACAAGGUAAGAAUCCUUCCUCCCUGCAAGGAACCCAGUUCUCUCCCCAACCCAGCUCUGACACCACUACUCAUGGCCCUGGCAGAAGCUCACUCUUUAACUCCUAGGCUUCCCAUCACUUUUGACCCACACUCUCCAUCACCUUGCACACCCACCCACAACCAA
rnacentral:sRNA from 1 species